AAAACAAUCUUGGUCAUUUAGAGGAAGUAAAAGUCGUAACAAGGUCUCCGUAGGUGAACCUGCGGAGGGAUCAUUACAAGAACGCCCGGGCUUCGGCCUGGUUAUUCAUAACCCUUUGUUGUCCGACUCUGUUGCCUCCGGGGCGACCCUGCCUUCGGGCGGGGGCUCCGGGUGGACACUUCAAACUCUUGCGUAACUUUGCAGUCUGAGUAAACUUAAUUAAUAAAUUAAAACUUUUAACAACGGAUCUCUUGGUUCUGGCAUCGAUGAAGAACGCAGCGAAAUGCGAUAAGUAAUGUGAAUUGCAGAAUUCAGUGAAUCAUCGAAUCUUUGAACGCACAUUGCGCCCCCCUGGUAUUCCGGGGGGCAUGCCUGUUCGAGCGUCAUUUCACCACUCAAGCCUCGCUUGGUAUUGGGGCAACGCGGUCCGCCGCGUGCCUCAAAUCGUCCGGCUGGGUCUUCUGUCCCCUAAGCGUUGUGGAAACUAUUCGCUAAAGGGGUGUUCGGGAGGCUACGCCGUAAAACAACCCCCAUUUCUAAGGUUGACCUCGGAUCAGGUAGGGAUACCCGCUGACUUAA
rnacentral:rRNA from 1 species